UGUCGGCAAUAAUCUACUAUUAUGGUCCAAUUUUAAUUACCUUAACAUACAACACAACACUUUUUGUUAUUACCGCCUCUAAAAUAUUCGUCCAAAAUAGGACAAAUAGGCUUCAGUUAACCAAAUCAGAAAGCCAACGAUGUCUAAGGAGUCUGACUAAUUUUAGCAUGUUUUUCCGUCUUUUUAUCAUCAUGGGCGUCAUCUGGAUUCUUGAUAUCAUAAAUUAUAUUGCUCAAAUAUACCAAAUUAAAAUUCAGAUUUUUGAUGUGAUUACCUGUAGCCAAGGUGUCAUAUUAUUUGUAGCAACCAUUUUAAAGAAAGAUAUUCUCAAAUCAUUAGCUAAUCGAUUUGGAAUUGGAGUAAGAAUAACACAAAAUAUUUAAAAUUUCAUCCUUGCGCCAAUAAUGGAAAAUACUUAUUCAUCA